UUAAAGUGCCUCUUACUUUAUCUACUACCAAACUGGGGCUCUGUUUUAUUUCAGUUAGAGUAUUAAAAAUGGAAAGGUUUGAGUAAAAAAAUGAGUAAAUGAGUAAACGGUAAAUGUUAUCUCAAACUACCAGAAACCUUCUGGCUUGCCUGGCGGGCGUGCUUCAUUUUACAUUAGAAUUUCAUUUCAGGAAAUCAGAACAAAAUAACAGUGGUGUCUAAAACAAUUACAGAAGAGAAAAGAAAUGCUCUAGCAUAUGUCACUCUUAGUCAUUCACAUUCCGGUUGGUAAAAAAAAGCAAAACAACAACAUGCGAUCCAUCAGAAAUGCAUUCAGCACUUCAUCAUGCAGACAAACUGCUCAGGGACAAAACCAAUGAAAUUGAGCUGCGGAAAUCAUCAGAAUCAUGACAGGCUGCCAUUAGCUGAGACGACUCUGUCUGUUCUGUCAUUAUGAGUCAGGUUUGCCGCCAGCCACCCUUUGUUCCCAGGCCGCCCAGCUCUGCUGCAUCAAAGGACGAUGAAUGACCUCAUUACACGCAGCAGACUGCAAUAUCAGUAUCACCAAACAAAGGUUGCCUCCAACAUCCCGGCUUCUUACAUCACUGGUAAUUUAUGGAUGAUACAGAUCUCGAGAGAUUGUUAAUGGAGCUUCAAAAGACACACUGACAGAGUCUGAAAUGGAGAUCAAGAUGUGACAACCAUAUGUAUGGGUCAUCACCACAGCUGAGGGCUCAUUUGACCUCCACUACGUUAAAUGAGUAUUAAGCAGAACGACUACUUGAAUUUGCAUUAAUCUGUCGUUUCAGAUCAUCAUGCAAUUUCUGAUGCCCCCACGGGCAAAUGUCACGCUGAGGGUAAAGUCGCAAUGAGACAGAGAAACGUAUGAGCUGCUGAAAUCACAUUACCAUAUGUAGAAUAUUGCCUACAUAUUGCAGCAUUGCAAAAGCAAUCCAAGUAAAUGCUUUAGAAAUACUUCAAAGCUGUUUUCUUCACAUCAUGCUACAAUAUUUAGUCAACACAUAAAAGGAAGAGGUCACAAUGACUAAAAUUACAGAGAACCAGUGUUACUAGACUGUUGCAAAGCAUUUGUUGUGUGGCCAUGCAUAAUUUAUGCACCAUUCAGUAAAUCUACUCUGUCAUCUUUAUUUUCAUGCAAUCUUUCACUUAUGUAUUCACUUUAUGCCUGCAGCCUUUCAAAUUGCCUUACUUUCACAUAAUUUUCACAUGUAACAUCUGCAACCUCUGCCUAAACUGUUUAAUAAAAUGUGUGUUGCUGUUA